GUAGGAGCUGCCGAAGGCUGCGAUCUUUUGAUUUGGUUUUUUUAAAGACAAAAUCAAAAGAUCGCAGCCUUCGGCAGCUCCUAC
rnacentral:antisense_RNA from 1 species